rnacentral:rRNA from 1 species
AUGGAAACAGAUUGCUUAGAAUUGGUUCACCUAUGGCACUCGCGACGGUUUUCGCGCUCCAUUGUAGCGCCGCUGUUAUUAGAAAUAGAAGAGCUAGCCUUAUCUUUUCUAUCUUUUGAUGUUCAACAUGUAUCGAGAAACUCCAAUAUGUCGGCCCACUUGUGUGCUAAACAUGCUUGCACCUUGGGGAUCACCGACUGCUGGAUGGACUCCCCCCCUAGCUUCCUCAUGACCAGCGUUUUGGCUGAUCGUGCGGGAACAGAGUAUAGUUGA